rnacentral:rRNA from 1 species
GCAUAUCAAAAAGCGGAGGAAAAGAAACUAACAAGGAUUCCCCUAGUAGCGGCGAGCGAAGCGGGAAGAGCUCAAAUUUAUAAUCUGGCACCUUCGGUGUCCGAGUUGUAAUCUCUAGAAGUGUUUUCCGCGUUGGACCGCACACAAGUCUGUUGGAAUACAGCGGCAUAGUGGUGAGACCCCCGUAUAUGGUGCGGACGCCCAACGCUUUGUGAUACACUUUCGAAGAGUCGAGUUGUUUGGGAAUGCAGCUCAAAUUGGGUGGUAAAUUCCAUCUAAAGCUAAAUAUUGGCGAGAGACCGAUAGCGAACAAGUACCGUGAGGGAAAGAUGAAAAGCACUUUGGAAAGAGAGUUAACAGUACGUGAAAUUGUUGGAAGGGAAACGCUUGAAGUCAGACUUGCUUGCCGAGCAAUCGGUUUGCAGGCCAGCAUCAGUUUUCCGGGGUGGAUAAUGGUAGAGAGAAGGUAGCAGUUUCGGCUGUGUUAUAGCUCUUUGCUGGAUACACCUUGGGGGACUGAGGAACGCAGUGUGCCUUACGGCGGAUUUCUCGAGAUCUUCACACUUAGGAUGCUGGUGGAAUGGCUUUAAACGACCCGUCUUGA